rnacentral:rRNA from 1 species
UACGUAGGGCGCAAGCGUUGUCCGGAAUUAUUGGGCGUAAAGAGCUCGUAGGCGGCCUGUUACGUCUGCUGUGAAAUCCCGGGGCUUAACCCCGGGCGUGCAGUGGAUACGGGCAGGCUGGAGGCAGGCAGGGGAGAACGGAAUUCCCGGUGUAGCGGUGAAAUGCGCAGAUAUCGGGAGGAACACCAGUGGCGAAGGCGGCCUUCUGGACCAGUACUGACGCUCAUGCACGAAAGCGUGGGGAGCAAACAGG